rnacentral:lncRNA from 1 species
AUAGUAGAGGGGCAUUAUGUUUUCUGGUCUGUGCGUCCGUUCGUCCGUCCGUCUGUUCGUUCGUCCGUCUGUCCCGCUUCAGGUUAAAGUUUUUGGUCAAGGUAGUUUUUGAUGAAGUUGAAGUCCAAUCAACUUGAAACUUAGUACACAUGUUCCUUAUGAUAUGAUCUUUCUAAUUUUAAAGCCAAAUUAAACUUUUGACCCCAAUUUCACGGUCCACG